GGGGACUUUUUUGAGGCUACAGAAGUAACACAUGACAUCUUUCUCCCUCGAAUUAAAAUGUGACUUGGUUCACCGGUUAAAACGCAGAGGGAGAUGGAAAUGACCAGGAGUCGAAAGGAGAAGCCGCCGUCUGCUCCGUGCUGCUAGGGGCCAGAGAUUGGCGGCGGGAGACAAGGGCUAUCUGACCAUCCACAGCUGGGCCGCCUUCACCGUCCGGGGGGUAGCCGGGAAGCCGAAGCAGUAGCAAGAAAGCAGCAGGCUCGGUCGGCGGCUAUCACUUCCGCAACCCACCUCACGCCGCCUUUCCCCGGGAAGCCAAGAUGGCCGCCGGUGCCGACGCCCCGGCCAGGCCAGGCCCAGGCCCCCAGCGCUCCCCCUUCCGCUCCGAGCGGGAGGGGCUAGCGAGCAUGCGCAAUAAUUCCAGGAGUGUAGAGGCGGAGAAGUCUAUCCGAGCUUCCAGUUCUGCUUCUGAAGCUGGAAGGGGCUUUUCGGUUGUAACCCUUGGGUUAGUUUCAGUUACUUCUUUGCUAGGUUGAGGAAAGGGUGGAAGCGCCUCCUGCAGCCACGAAUAUCCUCCAGUGCCUGAGAGAAAACGGCCUAAUCGAAAACGUCCGCGGCAUACAUCCAUUCUUAAAACUUGAGUGGCUGCUUUUCUGGGUGGAAAAGAGCGGUAUCAGACAGCUUAGGAUGAACCGUUCGGGGUUUGCUGAUGUGAAGCUAAAACAAAAAUAUUCUUUAAAAGGAGGGAUGUCUUAUUCAGUCCAUAAGAUCAUCUAAUGUAUUAAGCUGGCUUGGGGGAUGAAUCGGGUGUUUCAUUCAUUCAUUUGACAGGUAAGCAUUGCUUACCUACUCUAUUAUGACGGGGUCUGUGCUGACUCCGAAUAUUCGGUGGGAUGCAAAAUAGUUAAGUGCUCUUGUAGAGUUUACAGAUUAGCGGAAAACAGACAAAUUGUGUUAAGAGCAAUAGAAAGAAGAGAGCGGAGGACUCUGAGAAAUGAAGGCGAGGAGUGGGAGAAUGAGAGGAAGGUGGAAGGCAGGUAAGGAGUCUGACCAGCUGGUAUUUAAAAGCUAAGAUGGGGGGAAGAGUCUCCCAGGAGAGUGAACAGCAAGUGUCAAGGACCUGAGGCAGGAACAAGCUUGGCUUCUUCCACAAAUUGAAAGAAGAUCCAUAUGAAAGAGUCAGAGAAGAUGCAAUGGGAGAUGAAGACUGAGAGAUAAGGAAGAGUGAAACAGUGCAAGAAUUUGUAGACUGCUCUAAGCAUUUUAAAGUUUAUCUUAAAAGCAGCUUGAUAAAUUAGAUUUAUGGUAAUUAGUUUAAAAAUAAAAAUAAAGCAACUUGAAAGGAUUUAGGCAAGAAAAAGUUGUGUCUGCUUUGUAGAGAAUGGCUCCAGCAGAGUCCAGAUUGAAUCAUACAUUGUAUGAUAUUCUGUGUUCCGGAGUUCGCAGAUAGAAGUAUGUGAGGGCCAGCAUCCAAAUGGAAUCAGUAACAAUGCCUGGAUUUUAUUCAGAUGCUGUGUACCCAGCCAAAAGACUACAUUUCUCAAUCUCCAUUGUAGCUGGAUGUGGCUGUGUGAUCAAGUUAUGACCAAUGAGAUAUAAGUAGAAGUAGCUUGGCCAGACACAGUGGCUCACACCUGUAAUCCCAGCCCUUUGGGAGGCCAAAGCAGGAGGAUCACUUGCACUCAGGAGUUGGAAACUGCAGACCAGCCUGGAGAACACAGUGACACCUUGUCUCUACACAAAAUGAAAAAGUUAGCAGGGUAUGGUGGCAUGUGCCUGUGGUCCCAGCUACUUCCAGCUACUUGGGAGGCUAAAAUGGAAGGAUCGCUUGAGCCUGGGAGAUUGAGGCCUCAGUGAGCCAUGAUCAUGCCACUGUACUCCAGCCUGGGUGACAAGAGCAAGACCCUGUCUCUCAAAAAAAAAAAAACGCGGCUGGGUGGAACAUCUGGAAAACAUCUUUAAAGAACGCUGACUCAAUCAGGAGGAGCACCAUUUUGUUUCUUGCCCUCUGCCCUUCCUGCCUGAAACAGGACCAGAUGAGCUGUUUGAUGUGAAAAGGGGCGGAUUUUCAUUUGAAAAGGGUGCCUUCGAGAACUGGAAGUGACAAAAGUAGUCACUACCAUGAAUGAUAAGUAAUAUAAGGAAGAAAAGAUAAGUGCCCUCUGUGUACCAAAAAGGAAUGUACUGUUUAUAGAGACUUCAAAUCAGCAGAAAAUUCAAAUAGUUAUAACUUUUCUUUAUAAUCCAUCAUGAAAAAGAGUAACGACAGGAAGCUGAUUCCUGCCAACUGCAUUUCCUGGGCUCAUUUAACCAUGCCCAGAAGGAAUUAGGACAAUGAAAGAUAAAAAGAUAAAGGAGCCAACAUAUCCUCUCCCCUUUGAUUCAGACGACUUCUCCACCAUCACCUUCUUCACAAUGGCCACUUUUCCUCUGCAGUUGGGGUUCUUCUUCCCCAGCAAUGGCUCCAGGACUCUGUUAACUCAGCUCCUCCCCAGUU
rnacentral:lncRNA from 1 species